rnacentral:lncRNA from 1 species
GCAUGCAGCUCCUCUUCCCCUCUGGGGCCACCUCCCUUUAGAGCCCCAGAGCUGAAGCCCUGGGUGGUCUGCCCACCUGAGGCCUGUAGUGUCAAAGUGAUGAGCACAGGUGGAUGCCCCACCCAGCCCAGGAUCUCGCCCCCCUGGCUGCAGGCUGUGUGGGCAGUGGGGUGGGCAGGGCUACCAGACUGCCCCUUGUGGGAAGGGAUUCGACCACGUGGCUUCCCUCUACUCAGAGAGCGGCUCCUGUCAAGGAGACCUCCCUCCCACAGGCCCCUCAGCUCUGCCCAGAGCCAACUCCCACUUGAGGCUGGAAAGAACAGCUCUGAAGGUAAGGGGAUGACAGGGGGCUGGGGGAAGCGGGAGAUGGAGGGGAGGGGGAAGCAUGUGCCAGAACACGGAGGCAUUUAUGUGAAUAUGCACACAGUAGAGGGUUUUUUGUUUUGUUUUGUUUUGUUUUUGGUCUUUUUAGGGCCUCUCCUGAGGCAUAUGGAAGUUCCCAGGCUAGGGGUUGAAUUGGAGCUACAGCCGGCCUACACCAGAGCCACAGCAACUCGCGAUCCAAGCUGUGUCUGAAAAUGACACCACAGCUCACGGCACCACCAGAUCCUUAACCCACUGAGCGAGGCCAGGGAUUGAACCCAUGUCCUCAUGGACACUAGUCGGGUUCAUUACCAUUGUCCCACAACAGAAACUCCAUAGUAGAGAUUUUUUAAUUCGCCUCUAUGUAUGCCCUGAGAAAAGUGUGGAUAGGACCACUCUGGGCAUCACUUUCCUCUUCUGUAAAAUAAGAUAAUGAUCGCUAUAACUAACUUCCCAGGAUUCUCUUGAGGACCCAACAAGACAACAGCUAUGCAUGUAAUGAGGGCACAUUGUUAUUGAUGGGGAAACACACUCUUCUUUUCACCUGCAGUAGCUUCCAGUUGCCUGAAAAUUCACAUCACCUCUCAUGCUCCUUCCCAGUGGAGGAUUCUAGGAGUCCAGAUUCAAUCUUGCCUGGCUGCCACCUCAAACUCCCUUAGAGAGAGGGGGACCCUCUACCGGAAGGUGGCUUCUGAGGCCCAGCCCAAGGUCAGGCAGUCCUCAGAGAAAUGGGACAGGCAGGUGCCAACUCCAUCUCACUUCCAGGUCAACACUACUCCCUCUGCCUCCAGGAAGCCUUCUCUGAUUGUUCUGUGCUGACCGUUUGCUCUGCUUGGAUGUCCCAUAGCUGCUAUCAGGGCUCUUUCUAUCAAGGCAAGACCAGCUCUCUCUCAGCAGGCUGCUGGGCCCCCACCACACUGCCCAGAUGCAGGGGAACCCAGCUGCCUCCUCAGGGGUUGGGGGAGAGGGCAGGAAAGAUCGGUGGAAGGAGAGUUCCCAUUGUGGCACAGCGGAAAUGAAUCCGACUAGGAACCAUGAGGUUUCGAGUUCUGUCCCUGGCCUCGCUCAGUGGGUUAAGGAUCCGCCGUUGCCGUGAGCUGUGGGGUAGGUCGCAGACGUGGCUCAGAUCUGGGGUUGCUGCUAGCCUGGGAACCUCCAUAUGCCAUGGGUGUGGCCCUAAAAUUAAAAAAAACAAGGGUUUUUCCCUUCAGUGAUGUUGAUGGUUGAUGCAGAAUGCUCAUUAUAGAAACAGAAUAAGCUUGAAAAGAAGCGGAAAAAAAUCACCCAUAGUUCCCCAUUCUAUUAACAUUUGAAUGUAUCCCCUUACUCAGGGGAGCCCCCCAGGGGGUUCACAAUGAUUCCAGAACCCUCUGAAAGGGGGUAUGGAUUGUAUGUCAACUGUGUGCUUUGCCCCAGGAUUCGAUGGAGGCUGCAGGGGCUCAAGACCCAAAACGGUAACAGGCUGAACUGCACGGAGGGCUGUCCACAGGCACCACACAGCUGCUCGCAAAUAGACAUACACUGACCCUGAGGCCACACACACACACACACCUGACUGAGCACAAACCUCUCCUCACACACCCCUUCACAACACUGGUGACACUCAGUUCUCUCACCCAGAAUCACUGUAUACAUAUUAUUCACAUACCCAUGCACAGGUGCGUUCAUACCACAGGCAUGCACACACACUUCUUUGUACACACACCUCCCACCAGGCCAAACACUUAUUCACACCCUUGUGUUCACUGUAUGAAGGCGGCUUGGUCUGGGAGAAAUUGAGGUGCAUCUGCAGGAGGAAAAGCUCAUUCCACGGAUGCCUCUGCCACCUACUGGCCAUACUUGGCAUAUGCACCUUUAUUUGGUUCCUACUCCUUUCUCCUGUUCUGUUGUCUACACUUCAUCCACCUGCCCAGUCCUCUCCUCAUCCCUGGAAGUUGUGGACUGGAACUGGCUCCUGAAAGAGGGUCUUGAGAGGGAGACAUUCUGCUGGGAGACACUGGGUAAGUGUAGGGAAUUAUCACUGACUGACUACCCACUAUACGUCAGGCACGGCUGUCCCUGAAAACUAUUACCUCCUUUUUUUUUUUUUUCUUUUUAGGGCCCCGCUCAUGGCAUAUGGAAGUUCCUAGGCUAGGGGAUGAAUCAGAGCUGCAGCUCCCAGCCUAUGCCAUGGCCAUGCCAGAUCUGAGGGUCGAAUUGGAGCUGUAGCUACUGGCCUACACCACAGCCACAGCCACACCAGAUCUGAGCCACAUUUGCCACCUACCCUGCAGCUUACAGCAACAUGGGAUCUUUAGCCUAUUGAGAGAGGCCAGGGAUCGAACCUGCAUCCUCAUGGACACUUGUCAGGUUCUUAACCCACUGAGCCACAAUGGGAAUUCCACUUUAAAAAAAAAUUAAAGAAUAGUUGAUUUACAAUCAAAAGUUUUAAGACUCAGUCCAUUUACUGACCAUCAGACUGAGCUAGACUAGGAGGGCUGGGAUUGGGUCUGAGUCUCUUCUCUGUCUCCCACCCUCCAUUCCUGCCAGGCCUGGCUGCAAGAAGAGGGGCUCAGGAUGUGUCCAUAUAGACUGACCACAUUUGGGUGACACUGGAUUGACAACACUGCAGGGACUCAGAUAACAACUCUGAACUGACCAAAGACCUCAGUGCCAAGCGCAGUGCGGGCACUGCCUGGGGAGGCAAGGGCAGGCAAAGAAGGCCUCCUGGGGCUUAUGGGCUUGGACCCCUAAGCCUGGAAGGCAAAGGAGGAUUCGACUGGAUGGAACAGAGGAUCCCUCAGCGAUCCUGGCUGGAAAAACCCGCCGUUAGGCUGUGGCCACACAGAAGGUACUGUGAGUAGGGACUAAGUUCCAGGUUGGAAGCUCUGGAAGAUCUGGGUGAAAGGCUUGCCUACAGGGCAUGGAGGUGAGGGUGGAGUAGGAGACAUGAACUCAGCUUCUGGCCUGGCUUCAGAAUUCCCAAAUCUCCCAUGGGCCAGGUCUAGGGGUGGACUCACCAUGAGGUUUAUGUGUCAGUCAAGGCCUCGCAAUUGCACAGGCCCUGGGAAGGACCCUGGCCUUGUGUUCCUAAGGUCAUAAAUGUCUGUAAAAUUUGCAAAAGUAGGAAUUCCCUGGUGGCCUAGUGGUUAAGGAUUGGGCGUUGUCAUUGCUAUGGCACAAGUUCAGUUCCUGGCCGUGGAACUUUCACACGCCUGUG